UGACAAUCACUACCAUGGCAACCAAGCCUCUGUGACGUUCCAGCAAGCUCAUUGUCUUCUCUUCACUAAACUUUAGUUAGUAGUUGGUCCCAGUCAGUAACACUCUGGGAGGGCUCAGGCCACAUCACGAAAUGUGACAGGAUAGCCUUGAACUCAUCAAUUGCUGGGGGCACCUCAAACUCAACUCCAAAAUUGAUCUAAUGAACUUUCCCAAACCACAUUCCCUUCUUGCAUUUCUGAGAGAAUGGAUUCCCAUUCAUCUGACUACAGUGCUACCCUGAAAGCAGAUCCAGAGACUAAGAUUCACCUGCAGGUGAUUCAUUUGCAAGGUAAGCUGUCAUCAGUUGGAGGUAAGCGGAAGACAGUAGAGAGUACAGAGCCCUGGACUGUGACUCAGAGGAUGAGCACCAGAUCCAGUUUGCUGUGCCACAGUGCCUUCUCCAAAGUCACUCACAGAAGGCAUCCCACUCAACCUCACCUUGGGGUAAAUCAAAAUAGUCCUCCUUCUGAAGCUACCGGGUAAAGCGGUGGUAGCUGUGCAGCUGCUGCUGAUCAACAGGCUCCAGAAACAGCAGCAGGAGGUCUUUGCUGCACUAUAUUCCAGUCCUGAAGAUUUUCCUCAGAUAAUCUUUCAUCUCUUUGUUCCUGAGACUAUAUAUUAGAGGAUUACAGAGUGGUGUUAUCACAGAAAAGAACAAGUGGAUUUUUAUCUGAGAUCUACAACUUAUGAAGAAUACAAAUGAUGUAUAUUCUUUUCUACUCUUCAUGUAUGGACUAGAGGGGCUUGCACAUAAGAAAAAAAUGGCUGAGACCCACAGGAACAAAGAAACAGGACAGGAGUUAGAUGCAGAGAAGAGAUUUCAACAAAAGUUUGGAAAAGAUGCUAACGGUAGCAUAUGAGUCACAGACAGAACAUUGGCACCUUUGUUUAAGAAACUGAAUGUUAAUGUCACAUCUGCCUUUGGAGAUUACAAAUGAAAUGGCUACCUUUCUACUGGAACCCUGACCAGAAGUCUGCCAGUUAGUAAGCUGGCUUAAGAGAUCAAUCUAAAAUUUACAUAAGGCUUUUGAAAAAAAGAAAAAAGAACCCAAAGGCACAGAUUGACGUUAUAAGUCCUGAUUUUUGACUUGACUUCUCAUCACCUGGAAGUGAAUAAAGCAGUAGACUUCUCUAACAUUUUGUAACACAGCAUGAAAAAAUAUAGAGUACAAAAGAUAUAUAUAUAUAAUAUGAUAAAAUGAUGAGUUACGUUUCUAAAUCUUUUAUCAUCUUACUGUCAUUUCUCUAUAUUUGGUCUAGCCAGACUUCUAUUCAUUUUGUCACUUAUCUUUCAUCAAACUAGGGCUGAUGCUCUUGGGAAAGGGACCACUGAUUUGAUAUGCUCUUCAAACACCAGCACACUGUACUAUAUAGAAAGAUAUUCACUGAAAAUACUGAAGCUAGUAAUACAAAGGAAAAAGGCAUAAAAAUAGUGUGAUAACUAAUUGCUUACUUAAGAAUAUUAUCUGAAAUUAGAAACUAAUAUCAAUGAAGAAAAGGGGA
rnacentral:lncRNA from 1 species